CCCAAGGUGCAUGCCAGGGUGUUGUACAAGAGCACAGCAAGAGGACUAUUUGGUCUCCUUAAUAAGAAUCUCAUACACAAAGGAGCAGCACCAUACUAGACUUGAGGUUACUUCCUUAUAACAAAUCUAUCCAAAAUGAUUAAAGAAGCCAUUCGGACAACACCCUCUGAUGGGACACACCGAACUACCUGCAGUCCAGGAAGAGAGGGGAAAAGGAACAGUCCCCUGGCUGGUAGAACACACACCCCAUCCAUGUCUGCCUCACUUAUGGAGAAGCUAGGAGUAUUCACCCAAUUUCACCCUUCAGACGGACUGGUUUGUGGGGAUACACAGGCAGCAGGAAAUGAUGUGCUGGGCUGAACUCAAGUGCAACAACCUGGUCAGCAGGAGCAUAAAAUUAGCUUCCUCCCAUGCCACAGACAAAGCCAGCAGCAGGAAGACAUGCACCAGACACUGGUUGACAGCAGCCCCACCUGUCAGAGCCAGUCCAGUAACAGCAGCAGCAGCUGCCGCCCCUUGGCUGGUCCCCAGGCACCUUGUGGCAAUUUCACACACUCCGUUCAGCAGGGAUCCUUUCUGGCGUGGUAAAUGACACACCUGAGAUAAUUUAGUCUGGUAACAGGCCAUAUCUGAGCAGACCUUGAAAGAGCCUGUGCGUCACACUUGCCAGAGCCCAAGGCCAGGUCUACACUAGAGACUGUUGCUAGCAUAGCAAUGUCAGUUAGGGGUGUGAUAUUUUGUUUUGGUGACAUUUCUGCAGCAAAAGCCCUAGUGUACCACAGUUAUACCAGCAAAAAAGGGUUUUUAGUGGUGUAGGUUUUUUGCUUGCUGGACCAGUGUACCAGCAAAAGCACUUUUUGCCGGUAUAAGCUGCAUGAACAGUUUUGCCAGUAUAGCUCCACUAGCAGUCCCUCCUAGUGCAGACCUGGCCUACAGGAGAUCUCCGAACACCAGCACCAACAUCCAGCUCCCCCCUGGGCUUAAGCAAAAAAGUCUUCAGCCCUCUCCCUCCCUGCUGUCUGGAGCCCAUAAAGCAGCAUUGCUCCCCACCUGCCUGGGGCAACUGACUAAUAUUAAACAGCCACUUUGCAGAGCAGGAGAAGGGCUGCACAGCACAGGCACCAUCCUUCACCAAGGCACUGCUAGAGAAGGCAGUCCAGCAAUGAGGGACACAGGACACCACCAGCUUGGAGAAGGGAGAUGUUGGGAUGGUACCAAACUGGUGUGGCCGUACUGAAUGAAUGAUGUGUGAGCAUAACUUGGCAUGACUUAAACAUGGCUGAAUGGCUGCAGAGGAUCCUGGGAGCAGGUUCUCUUUAAGCAGAAGCAAAUUUGAUAAAGGACUGGCAAAGUCUGUGUGUCUGAUCGAUAGUGGUCGGCAAAUAUGGGCCCAUACAAAAGUAAGUAUCACAUGUAUAAAGUUCCAACCUGGAGCACAGGUUGACCUGGUUAUAGUGACCUUACAGCAGGACCAUCACGCAGAGAGAGAGAGCGAAUGAUUGAUGAGUGAGUAAAUGUGGAUGAUCUUCAUUCAGUACCACCCCUCAACCCCUUCUAAAAUACUAAUCAGGUAAAAAUUGGAAACCACACGCCCUCUGGGCAUGCUUUUAAGACUCCUUUAAGGAAAGAGUAUAAGAAUCAGGCAAAGUAAAUUACUGUGGCUGGGACUCCUUAAUUAACGCUUGAAGCGGCAAUGCUGCUAGACAGAGUAGCCAAAACUCUGCUCCAAGGGCUCAAGUAGGAUUGUGAACCAAAGGGGUCUCAAGGCAAUCAAGGCCUUCCCUCGAGGGAAGCCGAGACAGACCAGAGGGCUGAGAAGAUCAGACCAGGAAGAAAGAAGCCGUCUAUAAAAUUGGAAAGGUCCAGUGAUACCAGAUGGACUAUUGUGGGAUGUUAGAGAGGACAAAAGACAUUGGUUGUUCUGCCCUCCCUGCGAAGAUGAGUCAUACAAGAGAAUUCCUCCCAUUAGCUGAGUGUGCGACUCAGAGCAAAAGGAAGAAAGGGGAUAAAACAAACCUU